GGGAUAUCCACACUAGUUUCAGUCAAUCGAUAAAGGUGCCUCUACACCUUAUUGAAUUGUGGGUUUUGUUAAGCUUUUCUGGGAUAAGCAAGAAUUGUUUUUUGAAGACUGCAAAUGUGUUUUUGAGUUGACCUCUGUUAACCUCCCCUCAUCCCAGAGUACCUAUGUUUUUUCCUCCAUUAAGACACAUUAGGUUUUAAAAACAAAUAUUGCAUUUCCAUUUGAUGAGGAUCUCAUUAAAGAAUAAUCAUAAUUUUUUCACUGAGAAUUAAAUAUUUAUAGGCAGAGGAUUCUACUACACAAUUGACAGGACAUGAGAUUUAUUUGUUUUUGGUUUGUUUACUUUGAGGGACAUGCGGAUCAUUUCAUUUUUAUUCAUUUAUUUUCACAGAACAUAAAGAACUACUUAUUAUACAUUAAUAAAUUCCGAAGGGGAAAAAAAGGAACCAUUUUAGGAAUAGGAUUCACUCAGUAAUAACCUAUUGAGCCUACUGGCACAAUCUGAAGCCUUUCUAUGUGACCAAUAACCUCUCCAGGUGAUUUAAGCUAAAUAGAUACAUUGAUCUACUAACUGUCAGGAUCCAGAGAUCUGCCACCUGAUCUCCAGCAGAGAGCGCUGUGGGCCUCCUGAGCUGAUUCCUCUACACACCUGGAGAUCAUCAGCUCAUCAGAGGUCCACACUACUUAAGCAGCUGCCAGACCUUCCUUCGACGCCGGAGUGUUGACCUAGUUUGGAAACCCUGAAGAAGCUCUGGAUGAGCUCCACCUAGAAACCUGCCUGCCUGCUCAUGAAAGCCAAACCUGAAGAUCUCAGUUUGGAUUCCUUCUUCAGCUCUUGGAUAGAGCAAGGAACAAACCCAAGCCAGAAACCUUCUAGCUCGGAACUAGACGCUGCUGCUGCUUAAACUCUCUGCCACAUCAUUGACUCUGGACCUACGGUAUCUCACCUCACGGCUCUGUUACAAUCUCCUCAAGAAACUCUGAGACCAGUCCCGGACCAGUACCAGAACCAGAUCCAGUAUUAUAUCAUUGUACAUCUUUCAAUAAACCUUGUUAAACUUUC